GACCGUGAAAACCUGGGGCUCAACCCCAGGCCUGCGGUCGAUACGGGCAGGCUAGAGUUCGGUAGGGGAGACUGGAAUUCCUGGUGUAGCGGUGAAAUGCGCAGAUAUCAGGAGGAACACCGGUGGCGAAGGCGGGUCUCUGGGCCGAUACUGACGCUGAGGAGCGAAAGCGUGGGGAGCGAACAGGAUUAGAUACCCUGGUAGUCCACGCUGUAAACGUUGGGCGCUAGGUGUGGGGGGCCUCUCCGGUUCCCUGUGCCGCAGCUAACGCAUUAAGCGCCCCGCCUGGGGAGUACGGCCGCAAGGCUAAAACUCAAAGGGAUUGACGGGGGCCCGCACAAGCGGUGGAGCAUGUGGUUUAAUUCGACGCAACGCGAAGAACCUUACCCAGGUUGGACAUGCUCGUGGAAAAGCUUGAAAGAGUAAAGACCCCUUCGGGGGGGCGAGCUCAGGUGCUGCAUGGCUGUCGUCAGCUCGUGCCGUGAGGUGUUGGGUUAAGUCCCGCAACGAGCGUAACCCCUGUCUUCAGUUGCCAUCGGGUGGUGCCGGGCACUCUGAAGAGACUGCCCAGGAUAACGGGGAGGAAGGUGGGGAUGACGUCAAGUCAGCAUGGCCUUUAUGCCUGGGGCUACACACGUGCUACAAUGGCCGGUACAGAAGGUUGCAUUCCCGCAAGGGGGAGCCAAUCCGAAAAAACCGGCCUCAGUUCAGAUUGAGGUCUGCAACCCGACCUCAUGAAGGAGGAAUCGCUAGUAAUCGCGGAUCAGCACGCCGCGGUGAAUACGUUCCCGGGCCUUGUACACACCGCCCGUCACACCACGAAAGUCAGUUGUACCUGAAGUCGCUGGAGCCAACCCGCAAGGGAGGCAGGUGCCCACGGUAUGGUUGAUGAUUGGGGUGAAGUCGUAACAAGGUAGCCGUA
rnacentral:rRNA from 1 species